UCCAUUUUAGGUGAAAUAUAUUAGAUAUUAUGUUAAGGCAAAUACUUGAAUAAGAAUAAAAUGAAGAUCACAUAAUUAUGGUUGCACAAAUAAUUUAAGCGUGUGGAACCAUAUCUUCCAUCUUUAUAAAUUAUGAACUCAUCCAAGCCUAAUUCACUAACCCUAAUUCACCCAAACCUAAUACCAAACCUAAUAACCCAUUUUUCCAAACCUUUUUCCAAACCUAAUACCAAACCUAAUUCUAACCCUAUAAUACAAAACUUAAUUCUAACCCUACUCACAAUAUACUCCUCUUUUCUAAAAACUAACCCUAUAAUACAAAACCUAAUUCUAACCCUACUCACAAUAUACUCCUCUUUUCUAAAAAUUCUAUUUAUCAGAAGACCUGCAAAUUUCACUGUAUCAGAAGACCUGCAAAUUCCUCUCAUUAAUACUCAAACCCAUGCAAUCUUCCAUGCAACAUUCCAUCUGUCCAACAUGCACUUCUUAAAUGUAUCCAUGUUUCUCUAUAAAUACCACCAAUUUACUCAUCUACCUAUCAUCAACAAAUCAACAAAUUUCUCUUGACACAAAAAUGGCUAUAUGCAGGCCAUGUUUCUCUAUAAAUCCUCCAUAAAAAAUUCAUCUAUAUUUUCAUGUAUCUUCUUCACCAGAGAACAAAAAUCCCUACAUCUCUUCAUCUCACCUUUUUUUCUCUAAUAUCUGGUAUGGAAUUAAAACCUUUCUCCCUCAAUCCUUGAUGGAUUGCAACCACACCCAAGCAAUUUCUUCCCCCUCUCAGUUACAUUUUUCAUAUUAUUUUCAAAGCUAUGAAUUUGAUUUAUGGUGGAAGAUGCUAAAUAUAUGUUAUAGACAUUUUUGUGUUGAUGGAAGUAGAGGAGUGGAAGUAGACAUUUUUGUUGCAUCUAAGUUGAUAGGAGUUUGGUACUCUCUAAACUGAAAGAUUUAUAAUCUCUGCUGCCCACAUCUUUAUUUAUCACAACUCAAAGGAACAAAUUUUUCUCAUGUUAGUUGGUAGUUGUGUAUAAAACACGAGUAAAGAAGUUUUUGAAGAUACAGGUACUUCCAUCAUAUUCUCCAUGUUUGUUUUACUUUUAUGUUUUCUUUUUCAUUCAUCUUAUGCAACUAUUAUGAUUUUUUUUUUAUAUGGUUUCAAUUAUUAUUAUUAUUGUCCCAAUUGAUUAAUGAAUGAAUGACAGGGGUAUUUACAACUGAGAUUGAUUAAUGAAUGUGGAACCAAACAUUCUCAUCAAGCAAUCUAAACCAAACAAUAACAAUAUAUAUUUUGUUGUCUUUGUAGCUGGAAAAAAUUUUGUUCUGAAAAAAAAAGUGUAAUGCUAUUUUGUAGGGAUAAUUAUUAACAAAAAUAUUUCAUGGAAAGCAAUCAAAGUGCAUGCAACUACUAGCAUCAAAUAUCUUAUGGAGACCAAAAUUUUAAUUUUUUUUUCAUAAAAUAUUUGUUGUCUUUCCAGCUAAAAAGUUUUAUUAUAUUUAUUCCCAUUCAAUUUAAUAAAGCAACAAGUUGACAUUGUUCCUUUUGUUCUCAGGAGAAGAAUUUUUGAAGAUACAGGUACUUCCAUCAUAUUUUCCAUGUUUGUUUGUUUACUUUUGUGUUUUGUUUUGUUUUACGGCAUUUCAUGUAGAAAACUCAUCUUAUGCAACUAUUAUAUAUGAUUUUUUUUUUUUUUAUAUGGUUUCAAUUAUUAUUAUUGUCCCUGAUUCAAAAAAAAAAAAUAUUAUUAUUGUCCCAAUAAAACAAAACAAAACCUUAAUUUGGUUUGUGUUGAUUAAUGAAUGGCGGGGUGUUUACAACAUAGAUAAAUGCAGAAUAAGGGAUGUGGAACCAAACAUUCUCAUCAAGAAGCUUGCAACCUAAACCAAACAAUAACAAUAUAUUUUGUAUUUUGCUGUCUUUGUAGCUAAGUAAAAAAAAAAACGUAUUUGUAGGGAUAAUUAUUCCUAAUUAUACUAAACAUUCCUAUUUUUACUCUCUCUUAUUUAAUCCAUUUGUUUUCCUUCGCUCUCUCUAACUAAGCAAAAAAAAAAAAAAGUGCAUUCAAUGCUAUUUUGUAGGAAAUUAUUCCUAAUUUUACUCAACACUCCUAUUAAACACUAAUUUAGUUCUUAACUCUAAUUUAAUUGGGUAGAAUUUAUUGUCGUAUUUGUUGGAGGAAUUUGAAUUUCUAAUAGUAU